GAAACCGAUAAUAGUUGUGUGGAGAACUGUUUAAAAGGGAAGUUUAAAGAGGUAAGGCCGCGUUAUUCUGUAUUGCCUGAUAUAUUCACACCUAUAAAUUUAGGGCUAUUUAAAAACUGCCAAGACUGGUCUAAUGAUUCUUUAGAAACAUGUAAGAUGAAGUGCUCCGGAAAUAACAUUGGACGUUUUAUUAGAUUUGUAUUCACCGGAGUGAUGUAAUGAAAUAUAUUAUUUUUUUAUUCAGAGCUAUAUGGCUGGCUUUAUCGCUUUUAAUACUAUUCUUUUCCAUGCAUAGACUUUCACUAUUAGACUCCACUCGUGAUGUGAGCGAGUUAAUUAGUCUCAUGUCUUAUGGAAUGAUGGUAAUAUGUUUUCCAACAGGCAUAGUAUUCUUUAUUGCUCUAAUAUUUAUAGGGACUGUAUCAGACAUUAUUGGCGUAAGGAUUGAUAGUAAGUAUAUUAUGGCGAUAAUAAUAUGGCUUUAUUUUCUGUCAGGAGGGUAUAUUCAAUGGUUUGUAUUAAGUAAGCGCAUUAUAAACAAAUAAAUUAAGUUAAUUGCUCUUAUUAUUAUAUGUAACCUGGGCAUUGAUAUCCCGUAUGCCACAGACCCGGCAGGUAACCGCCUGCCCGACCCGGAGCUGCACCCGGACAGCACCCUCAGCAUGUGGCCGGAUAACCGUAUCGCCCGUGACGCGCACUAUCUUUACCGGUAUGACCGUUACGGCAGGCUGACGGAGAAAACCGACCUCAUCCCGGAAGGGGGUAUCCGUACGGAUGAUGAGCGCACCCACCGGUACCAUUACGACAGUCAGCACCGGCUGGUGCACUACACGCGGACACAAUAUGCAGAGCCGCUGGUCGAAAGUCGCUAUCUUUACGACCCGCUGGGCCGCAGGGUGGCAAAACGGGUAUGGCGACGUGAACGGGACCUGACGGGCUGGAUGUCGCUGUCACGGAAACCGCAAGUGACCUGGUACGGCUGGGACGGCGACCGGCUGACCACGAUACCAGAACGACAGGAGCCGCAUCCAGACGAUUUAUCAGCCGGGAG
rnacentral:rRNA from 1 species